rnacentral:rRNA from 1 species
UACGAAGGGGGCUAGCGUUGUUCGGAAUCACUGGGCGUAAAGCGCACGCAGGCGGCUUGAUAAGUCAGGGGUGAAAUCCCGGGGCUCAACCUCGGAAUUGCCUUUGAUACUGUCUGUCUUGAGUCCGGGAGAGGUGAGUGGAAUUCCUAGUGUAGAGGUGAAAUUCGUAGAUAUUAGGAAGAACACCAGUGGCGAAGGCGGCUCACUGGCCCGGUACUGACGCUGAGGUGCGAAAGCGUGGGGAGCAAACAGG